rnacentral:rRNA from 1 species
CGGAGGGUGCGAGCGUUGUCCGGAAUCACUGGGCGUAAAGGGCGCGUAGGUGGCCGAGCAAGGUCGCGGUGAAAGCCCGGGGCUCAACCCCGGGUCGGCCGUGGCAACUACUCGGCUCGAGCACUGUAGGGGCGGGUGGAAUUCCGGGUGUAGCGGUGGAAUGCGUAGAGAUCCGGAAGAACACCGGUGGCGAAGGCGGCCCGCUGGGCAGGAAGGCUCGCAAGAGCCGGCUGACACUGAGGCGCGACAGCGUGGGGAGCAAACAGGAUUAGAUACCCUGGUAGUCCACGCCGUAAACGAUGGGCACUAGGUGCCUGGGGGAGCGACCCUCCGGGUGCCGGCGCUAACGCAUUAAGUGCCCCGCCUGGGGAGUACGGCCGCAAGGCUG